GGAUCCAGACUUUGAUUCUGGCUCAGGACGAACGCUGGCGGCGCGCCUAACACAUGCAAGUCGAGCGGGAAGCUAUUUAAGGAUUCUUCGGAUGAAUUAAAAAGUGGAGAGCGGCGGACGGGUGAGUAACGCGUGAGAAACCUGCCCUAUACAGGGGGAUAGCCAUUGGAAACGAUGAUUAAUACCCCAUAUGACCACAGUAUCGCAUGAUACAGCGGUGAAAACUCCGGUGGUAUAGGAUGGUCUCGCGUCUGAUUAGCUAGUUGGUGGGGUAACGGCCUACCAAGGCGACGAUCAGUAGCCGGCCUGAGAGGGUGACCGGCCACACUGGAACUGAGACACGGUCCAGACUCCUACGGGAGGCAGCAGUGGGGAAUAUUGCACAAUGGGCGAAAGCCUGAUGCAGCGACGCCGCGUGAACGAUGAAGGCUUUCGAGUCGUAAAGUUCUGUUCUUGGGGAAGAUAACGACGGUACCCAAGGAGAAAGCACCGGCUAAAUACGUGCCAGCAGCCGCGG
rnacentral:rRNA from 1 species